rnacentral:rRNA from 1 species
UACGGGGGGGGCAAGCGUUGUUCGGAAUUACUGGGCGUAAAGGGCUCGUAGGCGGCCAACUAAGUCAGAUGUGAAAUCCCUCGGCUUAACCGGGGAACUGCAUCUGAUACUGGAUGGCUUGAGUUCGGGAGAGGGAUGGCGGAAUUCCAGGUGUAGCGGUGAAAUGCGUAGAUAUCUGGAGGAACACCGGUGGCGAAGGCGGCAUCCUGGACCGGACACUGACGCUGGAGGAGCGAAAGCCAGGGGAGCAAACGGGG